CGCGGUGUUUAUAUACUGGAUCUAGUGUAUGUGUGAUAGCUGGGCGGUGUUUGUGCACACUGGGCUCGGAGGCGGUGUCUGACCCGCUGUGCGGCGGAAGUGCAGCAGUAAAUCAGUGCCCUCGGUAGUGUGCUCGCUGAAGUACAGGCGGCGCUUUGUUCCGUCGCGUCACGCUGCAGUCUAACGGAGAACAGCGGCUCUCGCUGGGGAUGAAGGGCUCGGUCUCGGUCUCGGUCUCCGGCGGAGAAUAAGCGCAGGAUCCUUCUCAUGAGUCUCCCGCGGCUGGACGGAUGAGAGCGGCUUCAUAAACACUCAGAUCUCCACACACUCACGCUUUAUUCCCGAUCCACGGACACGAUGGAGCAGGAGGCGAUCUCGCCUUUGUUGGAGGAUUUUCUGCUGUCUCCGCUGGUGUGCUGGGUGAAGACGGUCUCUCCGCUCGGCUCCGACGGCUCUCCUCUGUCCGAGUUCAUGACGCUGGUGGACGGGGUUUAUUUGAACGACAUCAUGACGGAGAUAAACCCAAAGAGCAGUGUCCAGAGAGCCCACAGGAAGGUGAGGAACGAGCCAACACUGCGCAUCCACAACCUGUCUCUCCUCGUGCAGCAGAUCAAGUCCUGCUAUCAGGAGACGCUGCAGCAGCUGGUGGUGAUGUCACUUCCUGACGUGCUGGUGCUGGGCCGGACUCCUCUGAGCGAGCAAGGACUGGAGGAGAUGAGGAAGAUCCUGCUGCUGCUGCUGGGCUGUGCUGUACAGUGUAACAGGAAGGAGGAAUACAUCGACCGGAUCCAGAUGCUGGACUUUGACACACAGGCAGCCAUCGCUGCUCACAUUCAGGAGGUGACUCAUAACCAGGAGAACGUGUUUGACCUUCAGUGUGUAGAGGAGAGCGAGUCUGUCCCGCACGAUAAAGACAUCGUCUUCAGACAGCUGACCUUUAACCUCAAGCGCCUCGUGGAUGAGCGAGACCAACAUGCCGAGAUGGUGGUGUCUCUGUCUCUGGAGCGUGACGCUGGGCUGGUCUCUCUUCACACUGCUCCUUCACCCGGAGAGUCUCCCAGCAUCAGACGCACUGAGAGUGUGCAGCAUCUGUCCGUGGAGCUGGCCGACGCUAAAGCCCGGAUCAGACGCCUGCGGCAGGAGCUAGAGGAGAAGACCGAGCAGCUUCUGGACUGCAGACAGGAGCUGGAGCACAUGGAGACCGAGGUCAAGAGACUGCAGCAGGAAAACCUGCAGUUGCUGUGUGACGCGCGGUCGCUGCGGGCGUAUCGGGAUGAGCUGGACGCGCUCCGAGAGAAGGCCGUCAGGGUGGACAAACUGGAGAGUGAAGUGACACGCUACAAAGAGAAACUCCAUGACAUUGAGUUCUACAGGACCAGAGUGGAGGAACUGAAAGAGGACUAUCAGGUUCUCCUGGAGACCAAGAGCAUGCUGGAGGAUCAGCUGGAGUCAUUCAGAGCUCGAUCUGAUAAACAUCAUGAGCUGGAGAAGGAAAAUCUGCAGCUUAAAAACAAGAUCCAUGAUAUGGAGAUGGAGCGAGACAUGGACAGGAAGCGCAUGGAGGAGCUGCUGGAGGAGAACCUGACGCUAGCGGUGGCCCAGAAACAGAGCAUGGACGAGUCUCUACAUCUGGGCUGGGAGCUGGAGCAGCUCUCCAAGACCACACCUGAGCUCACUGAUGUGCCGCAGAAGUCUCUGGGUCACGAGGUGAACGAGCUGACAUCCAGUCAGCUGCUGAAGCUGGAGAAGGAGAAUCAGAUGCUGCUGAAGAACGUGGAGGAGCUGAAGUCCUCCAGUGAGAGCGGCGCAUGCCUCCGACUGGAAAAAGACAACCAGACGCUCAGCCAGCAGCUGGAGCAGCUGCAGGCGGAGCUAACUGCAGACAGAGAGAGUCUGCGCAGCGCUGAGAGUCUGAGCACAGAUCUGCUGAAGGAGAAGGGACAGCUGGAGAAAACACUGGAGACACUCCAGCAGAACUCUGACAGACAGGUCAAAGGUCUGGAGCAGGAGAACGAUCAUCUGAACCAGACCAUCGCCUCUCUCAGGCAGCGCUCUCAGGUCAGCGCCGAGGCCCGCGUCAAAGACAUCGAGAAAGAAAACCGCGUGCUGCACGAGUCCAUCAAAGAGACCAGCAGCAAGCUCAACAAGAUGGAGUUUGAGCGCAAACAACUUCGCAAUGACCUGGAGCACUAUAAAGAGAAAGGAGAAAGAGCCGAGGAGCUGGAGAUGGAGGUCCAUCGACUGGAGCGAGAGAAGGAGAGUCUGCAGAAGCGUCUCGCUGCUCUCUCCAUCACCUGUGGGAAGGUGGAGGUGCUGGAGAAGGAGAAUGCUGAGCUGGAAGCAGAGAGCAGGAAACUGAAGAAAGCGGCGGACGGUCUGAGGAACGUUUCCUAUCAGCUGGAGGUCCUGGAGAAGGAAAACACUCAGCUGGAUGAAGAAAACCUGGCGCUCCGGCGCAUGGUAGAGUCUUUACGGUCCACCGGAGCAAAGGCUGCUCAGCUGGAGCUGGAGAACAAAGAGCUGGAGAGCGAGAGAACCCAACUCAAAAAGAGUCUUGAGCUCCUGAAGGCUUCGUCCAAAAAAAACGAGCGUUUGGAAGUCAGUUACCAAAGCCUGGACGCAGAGAACCAGCGGCUCCAGAAAGCCCUGGAGAGCGGCAGCCGCAAGAUUCAGCAGCUGGAGGGAGAACUGCAGGACACGGAGAUGGAGAACCAGAGCCUGCAGCAGAGCCUGGAGGAGCUGAAGAUCUCCAGCAAAGGUCUGGAGCAGCUGGCGCAGGAGAACAUGGCCCUGGAGCAGGAGAACAACCAGCUGGAGAGGGACAAGAAGCAGCUGGAGAAGGAGAACAAGCGGCUGCGACAGCAGGCUGAAAUCAAAGACUCCAGACUCGAUGAAGACAACCUGCGCAUCUCUCACCUCGAGAAGGAGAACCGCACGCUGGGCAAGGAGCUCACCGCUCUCAAAGACACGUGUGGCCGCAUCAAAGACUUGGAGAAGGACAAUAAAGAACUGGUCAAACAAGCAACCAUAGACAAGAGGACCCUGGUCACUCUGAGAGAGGAGCUUGUCAAUGAGAAAUUAAAGACCCAGCAGAUUAACAAUGACCUGGAGAAGCUGACCCAUGAGCUUGAGAAGAUCGGCCUCGAUAAAGAGGGGCUUCUGGGGGAUGAAGAGAGCUCUGAUGACAGGUUUAAGCUUCUGGAGUGUAAGCUGGAGUCCACUCUGAAGUCCUCUCUGGAGAUCAAAGUGGAGAAGAUCGCUGCGCUAGAAGCCCGACUGCAGGAGUCCUCCAACCUCAACCAGCAGCUGCGGCACGAGCUCAAAACGGUGAAGAAGAACUACGAGGCUCUGCGCCAGCGUCAGGAGGAGGAGUGUUCGGCUCAGAGCUCGCCUGCGAGAGGACGGGAGGACACACAGAGCAAAUGGGAGAAGGAGAGUCAGGAGGCCACGCGAGAGCUUCUGAAGCUCAAAGACCGACUCAUAGAGGUGGAGAGGAACAACGCCACUCUCCAAGCAGAGAAGCAGGCUCUCCGGACGCAGCUGAAGCAGCUGGAGUCUCAGAGCGGCAAUCUCCAGGCACAGAUACUGGCUCUUCAGAGACAGACCGCGUCCCUACAGGAGAACAACACCACGCUACAAACACAGAACGCCAAACUACAGGUGGAGAACUCAACGCUGAACUCUCAGAGCGCCGCUCUCAUGUCCCAAAAUGCUCAGCUGCAGACGCAGCAGUCCGGCACAGAGAGCGAGAGGGACGUGGCCAUUCGAGAGAAGGAAGAGCUGCGCUCGGUCUACGAUCUGCUGCUGCACGACCACGAGAAGCUGUCUGCUCUGCACGAGAGACAGGCCUCAGAGUACGAGGAUCUGAUCGGCAAACACGGAGAGCUGAAGAGCGGCCACAAGAGCCUGGAGCUGCAGCACCGCAGUCUGGAGAACAGAUACAAUCAGCUGCUGAAGCAGAAGACCGAGCUGGAGCAGCUGGAGAGAGAGCUCACAGCAGAGCGAGAGAAGAUGAUCUCUGACAGCAGGAGCCAUCAGGACACGGCCGCACAGUACCAGAGGCUCGGCGAGGAGCACCACACGCUGAGCUCCACGCACCAGCAGCUCCUGAAGGACAACGAGCUCCUGCAGACAGAUCAUAAGAGCCUCAAGAGUCAGCUGAACACGGCCCGGCUGGAGCAGACGCGUCUGGAGGCAGAGUUCUCCAAACUCAAAGAACAGUACCAGCAGCUGGACAUAACCUCCACCAAACUCACCAACCAGUGCGAGUUGUUAAGUCAGCUGAAGGGGAACCUAGAGGAAGAGAACCGGCAUUUGCUGGAUCAGAUCCAGACCCUCAUGCUGCAGAACCGGACCCUGCUGGAGCAGACCAUGGAGAGCAAAGACCUGUUCCAUGUCGAGCAGAGACAAUACAUUGAUAAACUCAAUGAACUGAGGAGACAGAAAGAAAAACUUGAGGAGAAGAUUAUGGAUCAGUAUAAAUUUUAUGACCCGUCACCUCCACGAAGGAGGGGCAACUGGAUCGCGCUAAAGAUGAGGAAGCUCAUCAAGCCAAAGAGUCGUGAGCGCAUGCGCUCUCUCACGCAGACACCCUCCCGCUCCGAGUCCAGCGAAGGGUUCCUGAUGCUGCCGCAGCCAGACAGUCAGGACAGCUCGUCCAUCGGCUCUGGAUCCAACUCGCUGGAGGACAAUCUCACCCACCACAGCAGCAGGAAGAGAUUUGAGAAAAGCCAAACACAGGCUUCCUCUAACGCACUGAAAAAGCUUGCGUUCAUGAGGAACCGAUCCAAGGAGAAAGACCAAGUGAAGGCCGUCUACCGCCGCUCUAUGUCGAUGAACGACCUGCUGCAGACGAUGGCAGUGUCCGGGGGUCAGUGGUCCAGCAGCACGGAUCAUCUCGAAGCUCCAGACGAGGCCAUCGGUGCUCAGCACGGGAAGGAGUUUGGAUCCAUGGACUACUCCGGGCUGAGCCUGACCCACGGCCGCAGCGCUCGCCUCCGCUCGGACACAGGAGCAGCCGUGUCCAGUGAAGACGUCACACAGUCGUCGUGGUCAGAGCGAGCUCAGGGUGUGAUGAACGGCAGUGUGAGCCGGCCUCACAGCGAGAGCAGUGACCUCAGUGUGAGUCUGGACAGUCCUGCGACACACAGCUCUCUGGAGGGAAAACACAGGGCCACAUCUGCAGGAAGUGAGGUGGUGUCCCUGCAGCAGUUCCUGGAGGAGAGCACAGAGCCAGCAGAGUCGUCUGGUGUGUCCAGGGAGCGUGUGAAGAGCCGAGGUAUCCUGCGGUCAGCCAGCAGUAAGGCGUCUGCGGUGGACAGUGCUCGAGCCGGUCAGCCGGGCCGCCCCAGCCUGCGUAAGGCCGAGAGCUCGCGGUCCAAGGGCCGAGCCGGCCUGUCAGCGCAGAGCAAAGCCUCGUCAGCAUCUCUGUCGGAGCGUCUGGACUCCAGCGCAGGCCUGCCCCGCGCCAGCAGUGUGAUCUCCACCGCCGAGGGCUCUGUGCGCCGCACCAGCAUCCACGAGCUGCUCUCCAAGGACAGCCGUCAGCCCGUGCUGGUGGACCCCGCUCCCGCACGCUCCCAGAGUGAGUACAGUGAGCCAGCCCUGCACAAGUCCACUAGCAUGCCCUGCCGCGUACAGGAGCCCCAGCCGUCCAGCCUGCAGGCCUUUCUAGGUCCCUCCUUCACCGUAGACUCCAUCUUUCUGGACUCCAUCUUUAGCGAGCCAGCGGUGACGGGCGGCGCUAGAAACCAGACCAUCCUGUCCCUCAACACCGCUCUCGUUAGUAACAUUAGCGGCCCGCCCCAUAAGGCCAAGCGCUCAGACGAGCAGCCCGCUGAGCCCGAGCCUGACCCCGAGGACGGCCAGUCGCUGUGAUGUGGAAAACAGGAAGAGUAAGAGCAGAGGUGGAGCUCAGAGUUUGUCCUGAAUCCCACGAGAGAAUCAUGGUCUGAAGACUGAAGACCAGGCACAUUCCUACAAUCUCCUGCCAUGAGAAACAGGCCGUUUCUCUCUCUUUUGUAACCCUCAUGGACCCUGAGCAAUGAAAACAGAAAAUACAUCCUUUUCCUUGAAUCAAGGAAGCAGAAGGAGUCUUAGAGAAGCUGGGUCUCGUCUCACUCCCUCAUGAUCACCGCUGCAUGUGUGCUGCUCAUCUGACCUGCAGAAGACACCCGAGCAAACCCUGAAACACCAAAAACAGAAGGACUGAGUGUGUGUGUGUGUGUGUGUGUGUGUGUGUGUGUGUGCGCCAAAAGACAGCGUUACUCCUGUGUGAACGCCAUAUACCGCUUCAUUCCUCUUUUCAUAAAUUAAAUCAAUGUGAUAAACUUCA